ensembl:lncRNA
AGGGAAGCAGACUAUACAGAAAGCAAACUCUGCCUUAGGUUUUCAGGAUGCUCAGCUAGAUGAUGUUAUCAGGCAAACACAGAACUUCAUCCUCAGGCUUUGACAGGAGAAAGCAAAACCAAACCUGGUUUGAUACCAGAGAGACACUGUCUAUUUGAAAUAGAGCCAGCUUUUGAAAACAAGUUAGAAGUCAUCUCCUUGCCAAUUUUUGUGGGUGUUCAUCGUGCCUGGAUAGCAAGAAAAUUCCUGCAGGGAAUCUCAUGAAUGUCAGAGCUAGCAGAAAACAGAAGCAAGAUAUCAGCAUGUUCAAUGGCUGCAUUCCCCUGAGUGGAGGAAAAGUACCUGGGAAAGCAGUGAGAGGAGAGAUGAGGAGCAGCCUGCUGCAGAAAGAACUGCUGUCUAGAAGAGAACAUAUCAGGACAACUGCCAGCAUACUGAGC